rnacentral:lncRNA from 1 species
UUUUGAGACAGAGUCUCGCUCUGUCACCCAGGCUGGAGUGCAGUGGCGUGAUCUCGGCUCAUUGCAACCUCCGCCUCCUGGGUUCAAGCAAUUCUCCUGCCUCAGCCUCCUGAGUAGCUGGGAUUACAGGCGCCCGCCACCACUCCCAGCUAAUUUUUGUAUUUUUAGUAGGGACGAGGUUUCACCAUGUUGGUCAGGCUGGUCUCAAACUCCUGACCUCGUGAUCUGCCCUCCUUGGCCUUCCAAAGUGCUGGGAUUACAGGCGUGAUGGAGAUGAUACUCCCUAAAUCACAAGGGUGUGGUGUGAAGAUGAAAUGGCUGCACGUGACAGAGGAGUUGGAGAACAGGAAGCAAGUGGAUUACUUGGAUGAACUGUGAUGGGCCCAAGAAGAACUAAGCCAAUCACUCCAGGGGGCGUUUUCCCAGGAUCCAGGCAGAGAGCUGAUUCCAGCAUCCACGUUGUAUCCCCCUCCCGCUGUGGCCGGGGUCUCCAAGAGCCGGGCACCCACUGCAGAGCUUCCAAGCCCAGGCCCAUUUGAACACAGGAGGACUUUUGAGGUUCAUUUAACCCCAAAAUCAGUGAUUCUACAUCUCAAGCUCAUAUUUUGAAGUGUUUACGGUCUCGAGCUCCAGUUCCCUGCCAGGAAGAGCUGAAGCUGAGCUCUGGCACCCCCUGCUUCUUCUCCCUCAUCCCUAAAACAUGUGGGGUACUGGGUGCCAAAGGAGAUCUGAAGAUGGCCACCACUCAGACCAGCAGUAGAGGCCAAGAAGGUGACCAGGGAUUUGCCAAUUAUUCUGGAUGGGCACAGGGAAGGGGCCCUCAGAUCCUGCAGAGGGAGCAUCUGAAAGACAAUGAGACCCUGUACACAACCAAGCUGAGCCUCCUCGUUGGUGCAUGCAUGGAUCCAGGAAGAGCAGCUGCCUUUGUGAUCCCGCGCCCCGGUCCUCGGCCUCUCACCUCCAGCGCCGGGGCGCCCCCUGCUGUCGGAAGCGGCUGUGACCGGGCAGAGGUGCUAUCUGGGACUCUGGGUUCUCAGCCCGGGGACAGCGAACCGAGGGGCAGAUGAUCCAUCAGAAAAGAGCCGGCACUGCCCAGCCCCGCGCCCCUGCCCCUGCCUUUUUCCGGGAGCGCGCCGCGCCGCACCCGCUACGGCCGCUUGACCCCAUCUUUGAGCCCGGCCCCAAGCUCUGGGACCGUCGUGCCCCUCAUCAAGGAAGAGCCAAGGACCCCAAGGAGAAGAGAAAGGAGUUCAUGAAGGCAGAAAUGCCUGGGGCCCACGAACAUCCCAGUGUGGCCCUGGACGGGACAUCAUGCUGGGCAACACAGCUAAAAUGCGGGUGAAGACCAGAUUUCUUGCACAUGGCGGUGACGGGAUGCUCCCUAGAGAGCUUCAAGUGGAUUCUUUGCUUUUUAUUUUCUCUCUUAAUAAAAAUGUAUGAUGUUUACAUUGUCAGAGAACAAACAGAACUGUGGCUUGUGUUUCA